GAUGAACGCUGGCGGCGUGCUUAACACAUGCAAGUCGAACGGAAAGGCUCCUGCUUGCAGGGGUACUCGAGUGGCGAACGGGUGAGUAACACGUGGGUGAUCUGCCCUGCACUUCGGGAUAAGCCUGGGAAACUGGGUCUAAUACCGGAUAGGACGAUGGUUUGGAUGCCAUUGUGGAAAGUUUUUCGGUGUGGGAUGAGCUCGCGGCCUAUCAGCUUGUUGGUGGGGUAAUGGCCUACCAAGGCGUCGACGGGUAGCCGGCCUGAGAGGGUGUACGGCCACAUUGGGACUGAGAUACGGCCCAGACUCCUACGGGAGGCAGCAGUGGGGAAUAUUGCACAAUGGGCGCAAGCCUGAUGCAGCGACGCCGCGUGGGGGAUGACGGCCUUCGGGUUGUAAACACCUUUCGCUAGGGACGAAGCGUUUUGUGACGGUACCUGGAGAAGAAGCACCGGCUAACUACGUG
rnacentral:rRNA from 1 species